AAAGAAGUGCUGUAACAAGACUUUUGAGAAAAUUGGAAGAAUCCUUUUUAGAGGAAAACAAUACAGAGGAUAUAGAGACUAUAGUAUCAACACUAAAGGAGAAGCAAGAAAUUCUUAGGAAUCUAGAUGACAGAAUUCUAGAAGAUACAGUUGAAGAGGAUGUGGAAAAGGAAAUCCUUGAGGCAGAUGAGUACAAAUUUAAUAUAGAGUCAAAAAUUAAGAAAAUCAAAAAACAUCUCUUACCCUAUUUGGAUGAAGAGGAUACCAACAAUGAUUCUCUAUUAAAUCACGAGAAAGCUAAUGAAUUUAUGAAACAACAAAUUCAGCUCCUACAAAACUUCUGGAACAGAUGGAAGACGGAAUAUCUUACUUCUCUGAGACAAUAUCAUCGCAGAACAGGAACAACAUGUAAUAAGAUCAAGAUUGGAGAUGUCGUCCAAGUCCAUGAUGACUUCACAAAACGUAUCAACUGGAAAAUUGCUCUAGUGGUGGACCUCACAACUGGCAGAGAUGGACUCACAAGAUCCGCACUUUUACGUCUUAGCAACGGAACCAUAACAAACCGUCCCAUUACGAAAUUAUAUCCCUUGGAAGUGUGCGAAUCAGAGCCAGAGUUGAGGAGAAGUCAAAGACUUUCUAAUUAAAUUUUUCAAACACAACGCGACCUAUUAUGAACUUUUAAUAUUUUUUAAAUUGUGAUUUUGUACAUUUUGCGACCUAAUAUGAACUUUAAUAUUUUUUUUUUUGAAUUGUGAUUUUGUACAUUUUGCGGCCCGGAGUAUGUUGGGAAAUAUCUUGCAUGACGUCAAGGUGCAUGUGACGUUGUGAGACAUUGCUAUUAUGACGUCAUCAUAAUAUGACGUCAUGGUAACGUGACAAUAAUUAUGUUUAUGUUCAAAUUAGUCUAGAUAAACCAGUCAAAG
rnacentral:sRNA from 1 species